rnacentral:rRNA from 1 species
CCACACCAUCCUGACCACACCUGAUCUCGUCUGAUCUCCAAGGCUAAGCAAGGCCAGGCUGGUCAGCACAUGGAUGGGAGAAAUCAAACAAGGCACAAAUAUGUGGA